ensembl:lncRNA LINC01168 long intergenic non-protein coding RNA 1168
AAUGGUGUUUCCUUCCCGCCUUUCCCACUUCUCACCAGCGUUACCUUCCCGCCAUUCCUACUUCUCCUCAACGACGUUACCUUCCCUCUGUUCCCACUUCUCACUGGCGUUACCUUCAUGCUGUUCCUACUUCUCCUCAUGCCAUUACCUUCCUGCCAUUCCCACUUCUCCUCACGCAUUACCUUCCUGCUGUUCCCAAUUCUCUCUGGCGUUACCUUCCUGCUGUUCUGCCGUUCACGCGUGUUUAUAUGUGUUUGCAUGUGUUUACAUGUGUUUGCAUGUGCCUGUGUCUGCAUAUGCGCAUUUCCCUGAAUCGACGGAGGUUUUCCAGCUCUGGCUGUGACAAUGUGGAUUACUGGUGCCAUUGUUAAUUUUAGGUCCAUUUGACUGGGCUAAGGGAUGCCCAAGUAGCUGGUAAAAGAUUGUUUCUGGGUGUGUUUCUGGAAGAGAUCAGUGUUUGAAUCCAUAGACCGAGUCAAGAGGGUCUGCCCUCCCCAGUGUGGGCAUCAUGCAAUCUGCCAAGGACCUGCAUAGAACACAGACAUGGAGGACAGGAAAACUCUCUCUGCUGGAGGUGGAACAUCUCUCUUCUCCUGCCUUCAAACACUGGCCUCGGUGAUUCUUGGGCCUUCAAACUUGAACUGAAUUACACCGUGACCAGCUCUCCCUGUUCUCCAGCCUGCAGAUGGCAGACCAUGGGACUUCUCUGCCUUAAUAAUUAUGUGUGCCAAUUCCUAUAAUAGAUUUUCUCUCUCUCCAUCAAUAAUCAAUCAUGUAUCCAUCCAUCCAUCCAUCCUUCCCUGUCUCUCUAUCUUUCUAUCUAUCAUCUAUCUAUGUUAUGUUUAUCUAGAGAACCCUGACUAAUAAAAUUGGUUUUGAAUUUCAUUCUUUAAAGCAGUUAAAUUAAAAUGAAACAGAAAAGACA